UACCUUGCGCAGUGAUUAUAUAGUAACCAAGGAAGGUCUCCUGUGGUGCGAUUAUUGUUAGUUGAAAACUAUUACCAAAAGCCAAGAUUAUUUGUGCAUUAAGAAAAGGUUUUCUUCAUGUGUUUUUUGGCCAAAG
rnacentral:snRNA from 1 species